GACGAACGCUGGCGGCGUGCUUAACACAUGCAAGUCGAACGGAAAGGCCCCCUUGUGGGGUACUCGAGUGGCGAACGGGUGAGUAACACGUGAGUAACCUACCCUUGACUUUGGGAUAACUUCAGGAAACUGGGGCUAAUACCGGAUAGGAGCUCCUGCUGCAUGGUGGGGGUUGGAAAGUUUCGGCGGUUGGGGAUGGACUCGCGGCUUAUCAGCUUGUUGGUGGGGUAGUGGCUCACCAAGGCUUUGACGGGUAGCCGGCCUGAGAGGGUGACCGGCCACAUUGGGACUGAGAUACGGCCCAGACUCCUACGGGAGGCAGCAGUGGGGAAUAUUACACAAUGGGCGGAAGCCUGAUGCAGCAACGCCGCGUGCGGGAUGACGGCCUUCGGGUUGUAAACCGCUUUCGCCUGUGACGAAGCGUGAGUGACGGUAAUGGGUAAAGAAGCACCGGCUAACUACGUG
rnacentral:rRNA from 1 species